UCAUUGGAUCCUCCACCUUUCAUCCCCAAAUCAUUGUUUAUUUUAGAAUAUUGAAAACCUCCCUCAUCUGGAUCAUCAGCAACUUUCCAGUGAUUCUCAUCUCUGGUACCUGAGCACCAUCCCUUCCCCCCCUCGGCAGACAACGCAGGCUUUUGUCCUGAGGGCAGGCCGCUUGCAUAUAGACCUUCCAUUGUCCUGCCUUAUUGGCGUAGCCUUGCUAGGCCGAAAGCCUGCACAAUGAAAUCUUACAUACAGUAAAAAGGGGACAUUAAAAAACUCUCCACAAUAACUCUUGUGUUUAAAAAAAAAAGGAGCAAUGAAAGUUUGAUAAGGGAUACAAACCCCCCCUUCCUCUCCUCCCUCUCCGGGAUUGAAAACACAGAAUAUCUUUCUAGGCCAGGCUCAUGGGGCUUUUUUUUUCUUGAUUUUCGGCUUGUCUUUGUGUGUACGCUCUUUGUUCAUUCCAGGUGAACCGAAAUCAUGUGAUAUGAAAGGGGACAGAGCGGGUUAUUAUAAAGGGUUUUCGGGCUCUGCCGAGGGCUGUCAGUGAGAAGAUGCAAGCUUGGGGGAAGCAUAGAUAUCUGCCUGCAGGGCUGUAUAAUCAGCCUUCUCCUGGAAUCACCCGUAGCCCUGUGAAUGACAGAUAGACACACACCCAUAUAUCGUAUAGGAUGGACAAGUCUGCUAAAGUCCGGAGAUCCUGAAAUGUCUAUUUGGAUUAAUACAUGGAACCUGCUGGAAGGAGACGGCUGCACUUUGAAGAUCAUAUAGCUGGGGAUGGAAAUGAAUGCAUCAGCAUAUGGAUAUAUGUAUGUAUUGUAUGUUGAAUGUACAGAUUACCAAAGCCAUGGUCUAACUGACUGUGCCACAGAAGACACGUUAGAAGAUAAAGCUAUGCCACCCUGUUUCUUGGUCUUGGACAGAUGAAACCACUUUCCACCAUCUUUCAAAGGCCAGUGUUGUGCAGAGCUUCUCAUAUGGUUGAUCUAUGCCUACAUGAAGUAUGGUGGUGGGAGCAUGAUGCUGUAGGGCUGCAAUUCUGCAGAAGGGACUGGGCAUCUUGCAAAAUACUCAGCACUGCGAGAAGACCUGUUUCAGGCAGCUCCCAAAUUGAAGCUUGGACCAAAGUUCAUCGUUCAACAGGAACAAAAAGGGAAUGGCCUCCAUAGAAGCCUACAAGGCCAAAUGGUUGGGUGAUAUCUGGGCCACUUCAGGAUUUUUCCUGCUGCCAUGGGGUGCCAGUCUGACACAGGGGAGAAGCUUCACUGGGGGAACCUGCUGGAUUCUACCUGAGGUCGAUACGGAUUCGAUGAAGACAUUACCAUGGAGCAUACUUUCAGGCAUUACUACCAUACAGGACUUUGCAAUUCCCUCCCUAUUUUCUAAAGAAAUUUGCAAUGUAUUUUGGUUUUUACCAGUAAGUUUUUACAAGUAGGUUUAUAUGCAGAUUCCAAUAAAGAGAUGUUGAUAGAUCA